rnacentral:tRNA from 1 species
UAAUAAGAAGCAAAAUUUGCAUUUAGUUUCGACCUAAAAGUUUAGUGAUUUAAUCACUCUUAUUUU